AUGACGCUAAUACAUGCAAGUCGAACGGCAGCGGGUCCAGCAAUGGAUGCCGGCGAGUGGCGCACGGGUGCGUAACACGUAUGCAAUCUACCUGUAACUUGGGGAUAGCCCGGAGAAAUUCGGAUUAAUACCCAAUGAUAACCGAGACUGGCAUCAGUUUUUGUUUAAAGAUUUAUUGGUUACAGAUGAGCAUGCGUCUGAUUAGUUAGUUGGUGAGGUAAUGGCUCACCAAGACGAUGAUCAGUAGGGGACCUGAGAGGGCGAUCCCCCACACUGGUACUGAGAUACGGACCAGACUCCUACGGGAGGCAGCAGUAGGGAAUAUUGGGCAAUGGUCGAGAGAAUGACCCAGCCAUGCCGCGUGCAGGAUGAAGGCCUUAUGGGUUGUAAACUGCUUUUGAUCGGGAACAAAGAGGCCAUGCGUGGCAAGAUGAGUGUACCGAUAAAAUAAGCACCGGCUAAAUCCGUGCCAACAGCUGCUGUAUCC
rnacentral:rRNA from 1 species